rnacentral:lncRNA from 1 species
AAUAAUUGGUUAGGUGUUAAGUGGUUGCUCUAAUGCUCUGCCUACUGCAGGUGAUGUCACCGGGACCAUGAGGGUCUCCCACGGUUUUCCGGCGCCAUCUUGUUACACGAGGUAGUUAGUCGAUGUUUAAAAAGGGAGGGGAGGGGAAGGAGGGGUUAGAAGCUUCUAGCAGCCAUCUUGAUUGAAACAUGUGUACUUAGCUUUAUAUGUGAGAUAUAUAUAUAUAUAUUGUAAAAUGAGUAAAUAGACAUUUUCCUUUAACUAGGAAAUAUGUGUAGACCUUAUUUCCACAACA